rnacentral:rRNA from 1 species
UACAGAGGUCUCAAGCGUUGUCCGGAUUUACUGGGCGUAAAGGGCGCGUAGGCGGUCAGCACAAGUCAGUUGUGAAAUCUCCGGGCUUAACUCGGAAAGGUCAACUGAUACUGUGCGACUAGAGUGCAGAAGGGGCAACUGGAAUUCUCGGUGUAGCGGUGAAAUGCGUAGAUAUCGAGAGGAACACCUGCGGCGAAGGCGGGUUGCUGGGCUGACACUGACGCUGAUGCGCGAAAGCCAGGGGAGCGAACGGG